GUCGAACGGAUCCUUCGGGAUUAGUGGCGGACGGGUGAGUAACACGUGGGAACGUGCCCUUUGGUUCGGAACAACUCAGGGAAACUUGAGCUAAUACCGGAUGUGCCCUUCGGGGGAAAGAUUUAUCGCCAUUGGAGCGGCCCGCGUCUGAUUAGCUAGUUGGUGAGGUAAAGGCUCACCAAGGCGACGAUCAGUAGCUGGUCUGAGAGGAUGAUCAGCCACAUUGGGACUGAGACACGGCCCAAACUCCUACGGGAGGCAGCAGUGGGGAAUCUUGCGCAAUGGGCGAAAGCCUGACGCAGCCAUGCCGCGUGAAUGAUGAAGGUCUUAGGAUUGUAAAAUUCUUUCACCGGGGACGAUAAUGACGGUACCCGGAGAAGAAGCCCCGGCUAACUUCGUGCCAGCAGCCGCGGUAAUACGAAGGGGGCUAGCGUUGCUCGGAAUUACUGGGCGUAAAGGGAGCGUAGGCGGACUGUUUAGUCAGAGGUGAAAGCCCAGGGCUCAACCUUGGAAUUGCCUUUGAUACUGGCAGUCUUGAGUACGGAAGAGGUAUGUGGAACUCCGAGUGUAGAGGUGAAAUUCGUAGAUAUUCGGAAGAACACCAGUGGCGAAGGCGACAUACUGGUCCGUUACUGACGCUGAGGCUCGAAAGCGUGGGGAGCAAACAGGAUUAGAUACCCUGGUAGUCCACGCCGUAAACGAUGAGUGCUAGUUGUCGGCAUGCAUGCAUGUCGGUGACGCAGCUAACGCAUUAAGCACUCCGCCUGGGGAGUACGGUCGCAAGAUUAAAACUCAAAGGAAUUGACGGGGGCCCGCACAAGCGGUGGAGCAUGUGGUUUAAUUCGAAGCAACGCGCAGAACCUUACCACCUUUUGACAUGCCUGGACCGCCACAGAGAUGUGGUUUUCCCUUCGGGGACUGGGACACAGGUGCUGCAUGGCUGUCGUCAGCUCGUGUCGUGAAAAUGUUGGGUUAAGUCCCGCAACGAGCGCAACCCUCGCGAAUAAGUUGCCAUCAGGGUUUG
rnacentral:rRNA from 1 species